CUUAUUUGGUAACAAUUUAACUUAUUUAUAAAAUAUAACGGAUGCUUUUCCUUAUUUACAACAUAUAUCAAUUUAUUUACAAAAUAUAACGGAUCUGAUAAAAUAGAAGCUCACCCUUCCAUUCCCCUUUUCACCCACCUUCCCUUCCCCUUAGAUGCAGCCCCCACCCUUCCCUUAGGGUUUUCUCCCUAGAAUAAUAUCCUAUACUGUUUUGUAAUCUCGUUCGAAUAUCCACACCACAUAUAGACCCACCAUAGCCGAUCCCCAGAGAAGAAGACACACACCAUAAGUGUUUCAAUGGGUAAACUUCUCACCAUGUCGAAAAUCUCUUACUUCCCUUUGUGGGUCUUUGUAUUUCAAUGAGUGCUUACACUUAUGUGUAAUCUCGUUCGAAUAUAACUUCAAAUGAAAAUGAUUGCCAGAGAAGAAGAACGGAAAAUAUACAUUCCGUGGGAAAAUGAGCCAUCUCAAACUUCUAACUUCAGGCUGAUUUACACAAAUAACCACUUUUGCGACGAUGAUGAUGACUGCAACGAUGACGACGACCGCAAAUUCUUUCCCUUUUGCCCUUAUUGUAAUUUCAUAAUUUACCUCAUGUAUAACAAAAGAAAAUCUAUAUUUUCUGAUUUUGUUAGAAAAUGAAGAGAUUUGUAUUAGUAUCGUAUGAAAGUUGUAUACAAUUUUAUUGUAGUUAUAUUAAAUUUCAGCCGAAUUUCGAA